AUUGAACGCUGGCGGCAGGCUUAACACAUGCAAGUCGAGCGGGGGAAGGUAGCUUGCUACCGGACCUAGCGGCGGACGGGUGAGUAAUGCUUAGGAAUCUGCCUAUUAGUGGGGGACAACAUCUCGAAAGGGAUGCUAAUACCGCAUACGUCCUACGGGAGAAAGCAGGGGAUCUUCGGACCUUGCGCUAAUAGAUGAGCCUAAGUCGGAUUAGCUAGUUGGUGGGGUAAAGGGCUACCAAGGCGACGAUCUGUAGCGGGUCUGAGAGGAUGAUCCGCCACACUGGGACUGGGGCACGGCCCAGACUCCUACGGGAGGCAGCAGUGGGGAAUAUUGGAAAAUGGGGGGAACCCUGAUCCAGCCAUGCCGCGUGUGUGAAGAAGGCCUUAUGGUUGUAAAGCACUUUAAGCGAGGAGGAGGCUACUCUAGUUAAUACCUAGGGAUAGUGGACGUUACUCGCAGAAUAAGCACCGGCUAACUCUGUGCCAGCAGCCGCAGUAA
rnacentral:rRNA from 1 species